CCCACUGAAUUUAAGCAUACAACAACUAAGCUAAGCGGAGGAAAAAGAAACUAACAAGGAUUCCCUCAGUAACGGUGAGUGAAACGGGAAGAGAUCAAGCUUAAAAUCUCCACAUUUGUGGCGAUUUGUAGUGUAUUGAGGCUGUUAUGUCAGCGUCCCUUGGAAGAGGGCAGGUCGACAGUUCGACAGAUUCGCAGUACCAAAUGCUUGACCGCUUGCUGACUUAUCCGGAUCGUUGCAAUGUCGAUUAAAUAAUGCAUAUUUUAAGACAAAAUUUUGCCACAAUUUUUCAAUGAAGGCAAAAUAUAACGUGGU
rnacentral:ncRNA from 1 species